AGGAUGAACGCUGGCGGUCUGCUUAACACAUGCAAGUCGAACGGAGUACCUCGGUACUUAGUGGCGGACGGGUGAGUAACGCGUGAGAAUCUGCCCUUAGGUCGGGGACAACCAUUGGAAACGAUGGCUAAUACCGGAUAAGCCGAGAGGUAAAAGAUUAAUUGCCUAGGGAAGAGCUCGCGUCUGAUUAGCUAGUUGGUGAGGUAAAGGCUCACCAAGGCAUCGAUCAGUAGCUGGUCUGAGAGGAUGAUCAGCCACACUGGGACUGAGACACGGCCCAGACUCCUACGGGAGGCAGCAGUGGGGAAUUUUCCGCAAUGGGCGAAAGCCUGACGGAGCAAGACCGCGUGAGGGAGGAAGGCUCUUGGGUUGUAAACCUCUUUUCGUUGGGGAAGAACAAAAUGACGGUACCCAAGGAAUCAGCAUCGGCUAACUCCGUGCCAGCAGCCGC
rnacentral:rRNA from 1 species